GGAGCGAUGGCUGAGUGGUUUAAGGCGGCAGUCUUGAAAACUGUUGUGCGUCCGCGUACCGGGGGUUCGAAUCCCUCUCGCUCCGCCG
rnacentral:tRNA from 1 species